GACUCGAUAGCUCAAUGGGUAGAGCGGCGGUCUAGAUACCCGAAGAUGCGAGUUCAAAUCCCGCUCGAGCCA